AUGGAUAUUUCAAAUAAAGAACAAGAAGACGAGGAAUUUGAAUCGGUCAUGCUAGCAUUAGCUUUGGAUGUGAUGUUGUCAGAGGAGAGACCGACGUAUGCACAAAGAAAAUUACACCUUUCGCCAGGUCCCGAAGAAAAAGGGACCGUUGGUUUGACAAAAUUACACCUUGUGUCAGGCCUCCAAGAAAAACAGAUCGUCAGCUCAAACAGACAUGAGAUACAUGACAUGAUGGCCAUGCUCAUUGCAGAUGGAGCCAUACCUGGUACUGAUGAGCAUUUCUAUGCUUCACAACUUUUGUUGGAGCAGAAAUAUCGUGAUGUUUUCUCUUCAUUCAAGGGUUUUUCUCCUAGUGUGAGGCUUGGAUGGAUUAAGAGGACAUGGGAGCUCAACAAUUUUUAG
rnacentral:rRNA from 1 species